GCCGAGGUAGCUCAAGCGGUUGGAGCAGUCGUUUCAUAAGCGACAGGCUGUGGGUUCGAGUCCCACCCUCGGCA
rnacentral:tRNA from 1 species